CCCUUUAUCUGCAUUCAGCAGCUCAAUGUAGCAGCUCUUUUAUUAUUAUUACUACUACUUUUACAGAGUUCCUCCACCUCUUAAAAUAGGUCUUAAAUAAGUCUUAAAUUGUAUAACAGAAGUUUAAAUUCUUAUUUUAAGUGGUCUUAAACUCGGGAAUGGAAAAUCAGGAAUGUGAUUGUCAAUCUUCAGAAGUUGAUGAUUUUUAAUACAAUUUGAGCACUGCACAAAAAAAAGACAAUUGAAAAAUUGGGAUUAAAAAAAAGUACGUUUUAAAGUAAUAUUAUUCGAUCUAAUGCACUUUGGGAGUUCAAAAUUAAGAGCUCCAACCGGUGUCCUUAACUCAAGUCAGAAAAACGCGACGCGACCCUCUUUUUAUGUGUGAUAUAUCGUCUCGGUCUAAAUUACAUUCACACUGAUGUUUUAGGAAGCAAAAGGAAUUAGAAUAAAAUAACAACAGUGACAAUAGUAGCCAUGUAUUGCACAACAAUCGCACUGUAAAAUAAUUGAAAAUGAAUAUUUAUAGGUAUAUUAUUUACGCUUACACUACAGUAGGGAAAUUCUAAUACUUAUUUGUUCAUUUCUACACUUGAGAUGUGUUUUGAAUUUGGGCUGCAUUUAACCCACCAGCUGUCAGCAGUUCAUUCUGCACUUUCAUGCUUUUAUUCUGAAGGAAAACUCCAGCUUCAGUGAAAACCUGCUUCAAAAACACAUCUCAGUUCAAAUCUAGUCCAAUGCUGUAAUCAUCUGCUGUAACUGUGCAAUAAAUAAACCGUGAAUACUGACUUUUAUUUUGCCUUGAUGACCUAAGAUGAAGUUUCAUAUUGUCAUGCGACCAUGAUACAGGGUCCCCGCGGGUCCUUAAAAAGUCUUGAAAUGUCUUAAAUACAAUUUUCGAUUUUUAAGGUCUGAAAAUGUCUUGAAUCCUGGAAUUUUCCAUAUGAAUGUCUUAAAUUUCAUGUGGGAUCUUAAAUUUCAUGUCCGACUCGUCAUUUUUAUUUAUUUUUUCGACCGCAAUUUGACCAGCGCAACAUUUGGGGGCAGCACUUCGUCGGUGCAACCUGCAUAAUUCCAUAUGUGACAUACGAGUAAGUGAUUGAUGAACGCGUUGCGUUGAUGGUUCGCCACAACGGCAUUUUGCGAAAUCGCAAGCAUGGGCAAAGACGAUAAAGCUGUGGACAAGACCACGAUUGUCAGGUCUCCCUAUCUUGGUUCUCAGUUUUUGAGCCCCUCAACGGCAGAAGACUUGCUGGAGCACUUUAAGGAGGGCACCAAGGAACUUAAUUUAAGGAACAUGCUUUCUGUGUCAAUGGAUGGACCCACAGUAAAUUGGAAAGUCAUGGAUCUCCUACAACUGGAACAUGCAAUAAAUUUCUGAUCCUGAUCUUU